CAGAGGGUGCAAGCGUUGUUCGGAAUUAUUGGGCGUAAAGCGCGUGUAGGCGGCUUUGCAAGUCGGGUGUGAAAGCCCCCAGCUUAACUGGGGAAGUGCGCUCGAAACUGCAGAGCUUGAGUACCGGAGAGGAUGGCGGAAUUCCCCAAGUAGAGGUGAAAUUCGUAGAUAUGGGGAGGAACACCGGUGGCGAAGGCGGCCAUCUGGACGGAUACUGACGCUGAGACGCGAGAGCGUGGGUAGCAAACAGGAUUAGAUACCCUGGUAGUCCACGCUGUAAACGAUGAGAACUAGGUGUCGUGGGAGUUGACCCCCGCGGUGCCGUAGCUAACGCAUUAAGUUCUCCGCCUGGGAAGUACGGCCGCAAGGCUA
rnacentral:rRNA from 1 species